ensembl:snRNA U6 U6 spliceosomal RNA
GUGCUUGCUUCGCAGCACAUAGAGAAAAACUGGAAUGAUACAGGAAGAUUAGCGUGGUCCCUGCACUGGGAGGACAUGCAAAUUCGUGAGAUGUUUCAUUUUUCG